UACGUAGGGGGCAAGCGUUGUCCGGAAUCAUUGGGCGUAAAGCGCGUGUAGGCGGCUCGAUAAGUCUGCUGUGAAAGUUCAGGGCUCAACCCCUGAAAUGCCGGUGGAAACUGUCGGGCUAGAGUCCGGAAGAGGCGAGUGGAAUUCCUGGUGUAGCGGUGAAAUGCGCAGAUAUCAGGAGGAACACCAAUGGCGAAGGCAGCUCGCUGGGACGGUACUGACGCUGAGACGCGAAAGCGUGGGGGAGCAAACAGG
rnacentral:rRNA from 1 species